rnacentral:tRNA from 1 species
GGGCGAUUAGCUCAGUUGGUAGAGCAUCUCCCUUACAAGGAGGAGGUCACUGGUUCGAGCCCGGUAUCGCCCA